rfam:Homo sapiens chromosome 10, GRCh38 reference primary assembly.
GCUGGGCAUGUUGGCAUAUGCCUGUAGUUCCAGCUUCUUGGGAAGCUGAGGCAGGAGGGUUGCUUGAGCCCAGGAAUUCGAGGGUCUAGUGAGCUAUGAUCACAUCACUGUACCCCAGCCUGGAAAACAGAGCAAGACCCUGUCUCUA